GUAAAGGACAACAGCUUGGGAAAGCAAGGAAUAAUCCAGGAAGAGUGGUCUGUGAACACAGCUCCCAGAGUUGAGAGACUGGGAAGCAGAAGAGCUCAGUCAGCCCCUGAGGAGACAUUUCCCACAGCAGAUGUUGUGCCAUGGGAUCCUCCUAUCUCUUGCAGACAUUGCUGGAGGAGCUGCUGUGUCACCCCAAGGCCUGAGCAAAGAUAAGAGGGUCCCAUCCUUCCAAUUGCAUCACUGCAGCAGAGAUAAACUCAGUGUUUGCUGCAGAACAACUAUCAGGAAACUCCCUCUAUUUGGAAGCAACCCUGCCUGUGCUGAGACCUUACCUUGGAAAGGUGAUAAUGUGAAAAACACCCUGCUACAUUUUGCAGCUCUAUUUUACACACCUUAUCUGGGCACCAGCCUGUUUUUUCUGGAACUCUGGCUCCUGGGUGGUGUCCCUGGGCUUUUCUCUGGCACUUAGUGCCAGCUUUAUGCCAAUAAUCUUGGAUGAGAUCUUAUGAGGUCUAAAUUCAGUUCUCCUCUCCGCUAUAUAUUUAUAUAUAUAUAUCCUGUGAUUUAAAGGAAGUCACUCAAUUUUCCUGUCCCUCAUCUGUAACACAAUCUGCAUUUUUUAGAUUUUUUCAUCCCUGUUUUCUUCUUACUCUUGGUGGUCUGGGGAGGGUUUUCCUGGGAGCAGGUGUCUCAGCAGACUGCUAUGAACCAACAAAGUACUUUUGGUGGUUAACUUUUGGAUGUGAACUAAAGAGAUUCCAGUUUCCCUCUCUUUGCUGCUACCCAGACUGUGAGCUUUGUAACAUUUUCUGCAAUAUUUAAAUCACAACUUCUUGACUUACCUGAUUAUGUGAGACUCAUGGCUCCUGGUUGUGGUUUUUGGUUUUUUUUUUUUUUUGUAUGUUUUUGUCUUGUCUUUUGAAGGUACAUCACUAGUACCAGUCCAAAAAAAAAUAAACAAACCCGAAACACAAAGAAACCAAACAAAACAGAGAUGGUUGUCCCCAGAUGCUGGAGUCUGUUAUUUCUUCAGAUAUGAAGAAGUUUGGGCUGAACUCAUGAGUCUUGUGCAUGUGGCUGGAUCAGCACAGAACCAGUGCUGGGAGUCAGGGGAGAAACAACUUUUCCUGCCUGUUGACCAGCUGAAAUUUUCUGUGUCCAUUCAACACA